CCAAUAGCGUAUAUUAAAGUUGUUGUAGUUAAAAAGCCCGUAGUUGAACUUCGGGAUUUACCCAUUGGUCAGGCUUAAUUGUCUGUACUGGUGGGCUGAAUCUCUACCUUCUGAGGAACUUUCAUGCCAUCUAUUUGGUGUGAUGGGAAAUCAGGACUGUUACUUUGAAAAAAUUAGAGUGUUUAAAGCAGGCUAACGUCUGAAUACAUUAGCAUGGAAUAAUGAAAUAGGACGGACUGAUUCUAUUUCGUUGGUUUCUAGGAUCACCGUAAUGAUUAAUAGAGAUAGUUGGGGGCAUUAGUAUUCAAUUGUCAGAGGUGAAAUUCUUGGAUUUAUUGAAGACUAACUACUGCGAAAGCAUUUGCCAAGGAUGUUUUCAUUAAUCAAGAACGAAAGUUAGGGGAUCGAAGACGAUCAGAUACCGUCGUAGUCUUAACCAUAAACUAUGCCGACUAGGGAUCGGACGAAGUUAAUUUUAUAAUGACGCGUUCGGCACCUUAC
rnacentral:rRNA from 1 species